rnacentral:rRNA from 1 species
AACGGCCAUACCAUGCUGAAUAUACCGGUUCUCUUUAGAUCACCGAAGUCAAGCAUCAUUGGGCGCGGUCAGUACUUGGGUGGGUGACCACCUGGGAACACCUCGUGCCGU